UUGGAGCUCUGCAGAUAGUUUGCACCCUGCUCUGCGCUGAGAAGAAAAAGGAAAAGAAGAAAAAGAUUUGGGUGAAGGAAUGGUUUGCUGCACGCAGAUUGCGAGGGGUUGUCAAUUCUGCAGAGAGAGUUGGAGGGAUGACAGUGGAGGACUUUGAUUUCUUGCUGGGGCUGGUAGAGCGGUACGUCGCAAGGAAAGACACCAGAUUUAGGCUUGCCAUAUUCCCUAGAGAACGUCUGUCCUUGACCCUGCGCUAUCUGGCUACUGGAGAAACAUUCCGGUCUCUCUGCUUCCAGUACAGGAUUGGGACCAGCACAAUCUCCGCUAUCGCCAUGGAAACGUGCGGCAUGUUUACAUGUAUUUUAAAAGUCCGGUUAACACUAACACAAUAAAUUGUGUUAGUGUUUCUUUUACACACUGCUGUCUGCCAGAGAGGUAAUUUGCGAACCAUUUAAUGGCUUGUGGAUCAAAUCCAAUAUUUGAUAGUCUUUUUAGGAGGAGAGAAUGAUCAACUGUAUCAGAGGCUUUAGAUAAAUCAAUAAAAAGAGCGACACAGUGCUUUCUGUUAUCUACAGCUGACACAAUGCCAUUCAAAAUUAAGGAAGCAGCAGAAAGAGUGCUAUGAUUUCAUCUGAAGUCAGAUUGGUGGGAGGAUAAUACAGCAUAUCGAGCUAAAAAUGACUUGACUCAAUGACUUGAGUUGAUUAUUUACUAAUGUUUCUAGGAUUUUAGACAGACAAGACAGUUUUGAAAUUGGACGGUAGUUGUUUAGGUUACUUUUUUCUCCUCCUUUGUGCAAAGGUAAAACAUGAGCCGACUUCCAUACUUUAGGUAUUAUACCAGUUGAAAUAGUUAACUUAAAAAUAUGUGCAAUAUACUCUGAAAUUAUGGGAGCUGCAAGCUUGAUGAGAAAGGGGGCCAAAUUGUCCUCUCCAGUUGCUUUUCUUGAAUCAAUGGCUUGAAGAGCCUCAGUGACUAUAGUAGGAGAAAAGGGGUGGAGGGCAAAUUGAGUGGCAUAGUCUACUGUAUGUACAUAAUCAUCUUUGUUAAUAAAUGUAUUUCUAGAAUUAGGCAAUGUCAUACUUUUAUCUUCAAACAGGUGACCGGCUACAACAAAAUGUCUGUUGAACGCUGUACAUAUGUCUUCAUCUUCUGUCAGUGUAAUAUUUCUGGAAUUGACAUGAGUGGGUAGAGAGGAAACAUUAUUUUUAGUUGAGUUAACUACUUCCCAGAAUUUUGAUGGAUUGGACCAAGAACUGGAGAUAGAGGUUAAGUAAUAAUUAGGGACCUCGG